rnacentral:rRNA from 1 species
GACAGAGGGUGCAACCGUUGCUCGGAAUUACUGGGCGUAAAGCGCGUGUAGGCGGGCUGAUAAGUCGGACGUGAAAGCCCUGGGCUCAACCCAGGAACUGCAUCCGAAACUGUCAGUCUGGAGUGGUGGAGAGGGAAGCAGAAUUCCUGGUGUAGAGGUGAAAUUCGUAGAUAUCAGGAGGAACACCGGUGGCGAAGGCGGCUUCCUGGACACUAACUGACGCUGAGACGCGAAAGCGCGGGGAGCAAACAGG